GUGGACUGGCUCGUUCUUAGUUUACGAAAAUCAUCAUUUUUCUUUUUUUUUAAAAAUUCAUUUUAUUACACCUGACAGUGGGCGAUAAUACCAUCGACGGUACGAUGUGAAAAGACGACAGCGCGGGCACAGCGGCGGUCCGUCGAGCCUCAGCGCAUCAGGAAUGUGAGUGCUUGAAUAUUCGAAACCCGCAAGCUGGAGCGAGGAACGGAGCUAUAAAGAAGAAACACCGCAGUUGUGAUUACAUCGUCAGGAAUUUCGCAUAGCGAGACCAUUAGAACAAUCUACGCGAUGCUGUUGUAGUUUUGAAUCCUUGCGUCGAGGUCGGCGUGCGGUGAAACGCAGUUUCAUGGAUUGACUGUAAAUCCAGGACCUACGGGAGACGAUGGUGUAGAGGAAAGGAGGAGAGUAGAAGCAAAAACAGAGAGACUGAAAGGGAGCAAAAGGAGUAAGUAAAAAAGAUUCGACGCGCUCUGUAGCGCUUUCGGGCGCGUGAUUAGAAAGAGGAGGAGAAUAGCACCAAGGAAAAGGGGAGAAAGGAGCAAGCUUCGUGGAUGUAUAAGGUCUAGGCGAUCUCCGGAAGGCGAUCUGCGUUAUCCCAUCACCUGAUCGCUAUUGCAGUAUAACUUACCUUCUUUGGAGCAGUAAUAGUGAGAACACCAUCCGAAGAUAAGCUCGAGGUAACGUCCGAGACUUCGUGGGUCGGGGGGAGGAGAUAACGCCUAACGAAGUGCCGGCUGAUGUAGCCGUGCUCAUCCUGCUUCUCCUCGUGUUUCGCCUCGACGACAACGUUAUUGUCGACGGUUUUGACCGUUAUUUCAUCCGGUGAGAAUUGUUGCACGUCAAGUAUCACCUGGAAAGAAAAGAAGAGAGGAUUUGAAGGAGGUAAAACAACAGCGUAAAAUAAAAAAUAAACAUUAUACCAGUGCCAGCAGCGCGUGAUUGAUCGUCGCGGUAUACUGAGAGGUACUUAUUGCUAGGCCUACGCUUCGUACGAUAAAAUCAUUUCGGCUGCAUCGCGUUGACGAUCAAGCCUUGAAUAACAUCGACGAGCCCAGCAACAGUCACUGUGUCCGGAACACUGAUAAAUCUGGCAAUUGCCUUCUAUCCACCUGCAGCCGUCAUCGCAGCCUUCCCACGUGAGAUAUACAAUAUCACUACAUCUUAAUUAUUAACUGGUACACAAACAAUUUCUGGUAUCACACAUGCGUAUAUUCCCGUAAGGCAGCAAAGAAGUUGCGAUUUGUUGUUCUUUUUUUUUUUUCCUUUUUACUUUCUCUUUCCUUGUUCAAAGAUAAUUGAUACUGUUUCAAAAAGGGAAAGUUAGGCGAAACUAUGAGUAAAUAAGAGUUAAAAAAAAAAACAUCUGAUUGGAUUGUGUCCGCGA